GGGGCUGCCUGGUUUCGACGUCAGUUUCGGUGGGCGGGCGUGCGACUCGAGUGGCUCAGACUCGUUAAACGGGGCACAAACAAGAAUUGCCAACGAGCAGUUCGCUCUCGCCGCCUGAUUUAUUCAGGUGACUGAGAGACAUCGUGACCAGCAAUGGCGCACGGGGCCAAUCCAUCGCAGCCCGGCAACAGAAGCGAAGGAUGACGGCAGGAAAGAACGCUGGCAGCUGGAAAGAACGCUGACAUGUCGGAAAGACGACACGCGAUCCCGCAAGGGAUAGUCGACCCGCCGACAGUGUUGCGUCAGCACUAAUGCGGGGAUAGUCGUAUCACGAUCGUUCAGCGCCUGAUGGACGGGGGUUCGAUUCCCCCCAGCUCCACCA
rnacentral:tmRNA from 1 species